UACAGAGGUCUCAAGCGUUGUUCGGAUUCAUUGGGCGUAAGGGUGCGUAGGCGGCGCGGUAAGUCGGGUGUGAAAUCUCGGGGCUUAACUCCGAAACUGCAUUCGAUACUACCGUGCUUGAGGACUGGAGAGGAGACUGGAAUUUACGGUGUAGCGGUGAAAUGCGUAGAUAUCGUAAGGAAGACCAGUGGCGAAGGCGGGUCUCUGGACAGUUCCUGACGCUGAGGCACGAAGGCCAGGGGAGCAAACGGG
rnacentral:rRNA from 1 species